rnacentral:rRNA from 1 species
CCUAGGGGUGCAGCAGUGAGGAAUAUUGGUCAAUGGACGAGAGUCUGAACCAGCCAAGUAGCGUGAAGGAUGACUGCCCUAUGGGUUGUAAACUUCUUUUAUAAAGGAAUAAAACGAGGCACGUGUGCCUUUUUGUAUGUACUUUAUGAAUAAGGAUCGGCUAACUCCGUGCCAGCAGCCGCGGUAAUACGGAGGAUCCGAGCGUUAUCCGGAUUUAUUGGGUUUAAAGGGAGCGUAGAUGGGUUGUUAAGUCAGUUGUGAAAGUUUGCGGCUCAACCGUAAAAUUGCAAUUGAUACUGGCAGUCUUGAGUACAGUUGAGGUAGGCGGAAUUCGUGGUGUAGCGGUGAAAUGCUUAGAUAUCACGAAGAACUCCGAUUGCGAAGGCAGCUUACUAAACUGCCACUGACAUUGAUGCUCGAAAGUGUGGGUAUCAAACAGGAUUAGAUACCCGGGUAGUC